CAGUAGCCACGGUAAUACGGAGGGUGCAAGCGUUAUCCGGAUUCACUGGGUUUAAAGGGUGCGUAGGCGGAUCUGUAAGUCAGUGGUGAAAUCUCCAGGCUUAACCUGGAAACUGCCGUUGAUACUAUAGGUCUUGAAUUUUGUGGAGGUUAGCGGAAUAUGUCAUGUAGCGGUGAAAUGCAUAGAUAUGACAUAGAACACCAAUUGCGAAGGCAGCUGGCUACACAACUAUUGACGCUGAGGCACGAAAGCGUGGGGAUCAAACAGGAUUAGAUACCCGCGUAGUCCCUGUCUCUUAUAC
rnacentral:rRNA from 1 species